CCUACGGGAGUCUGCAGUGAGGAAUAUUGGUCAAUGGACGAGAGUCUGAACCAGCCAAGUAGCGUGAAGGAUGACUGCCCUAUGGGUUGUAAACUUCUUUUAUAUGGGAAUAAAAUGUUCCACGUGUGGGAUUUUGUAUGUACCAUAUGAAUAAGGAUCGGCUAACUCCGUGCCAGCAGCCGCGGUAAUACGGAGGAUCCGAGCGUUAUCCGGAUUUAUUGGGUUUAAAGGGAGCGUAGGUGGAUUGUUAAGUCAGUUGUGAAAGUUUGCGGCUCAACCGUAAAAUUGCAGUUGAAACUGGCAGUCUUGAGUACAGUAGAGGUGGGCGGAAUUCGUGGUGUAGCGGUGAAAGGCUUAGAUAUCACGAAGAACUCCGAUUGCGAAGGCAGCUCACUGGACUGCAACUGACACUGAGGCUCGAAAGUGUGGGUAUCAAACAGGAUUAGAUACCCGGGUAGUC
rnacentral:rRNA from 1 species